UCCACAAAAUAUAUUAUAUAUGUGGUUUUCAAGCUCUGCAAAAUAUACAGAAAUUCAUCCACAGAAAAUAACAUUAUUGUUUGGUCAUGACCAAGGUUAAGCGUAAACCAAGACGGUGCGUUUGCUGCAUAGUCUCUGGUAUUGUCUUCGUUGUCUUCCUUGUCUUUAUCAGUGCCUUGAUCUUUGCAUUUGCCACUUACAAAGCCAAAACCAAAAACCAAUGAUUCGGAUCCAGACUACAGCUGUACAAAGCAUCUCCUCGCAUAUAGUAGUGUCCAUAUUCUUAUGAAGGAUUGUGUGAGUUUCAAACAUGAGACAGGGAAGACAGUAGUUUGUAUACAAGGAGAAGCAAGUGAGUAAUAUUGAUCUUCCCUCAGUCUGAAGUGGCAUAAGUGGAAAGAUUGUGUCGGAAACAAAGACAGAUCCCAGAGAAAAUCAAGUUGUUGGGACAUCUUCAAGAAACACACUUAGUUGCUAUAUUAUUGAAAGAUCAGCGUUGACUUCCCUUCCAUGAAAGUGCAGAGUCAAGAAUGUGAUUGUAUUCUUCAUUGUCUUCCUUAGCUUUCAUUCUUUCCACUCCACUUGAAUUUUUGUAUCUUGUUUUUUUUUUUUUGAAGUACAUAUGUUAGAUUUAGAACUGCUUUCUGUUCAUGCUUAGAAAUUUGUAACAAAGUAGUAAAGAACAAACCAAGAAUUGAAUUCUA